ACUUAAAUAGCUUAUAUUAGAGCGUGACACUGAAGAUGUUAAAGAGACUGUUCUAGUCUUUAGGUA
rnacentral:tRNA from 1 species